GACGAACGCUGGCGGCGUGCUUAACACAUGCAAGUCGAACGGAAAGGCCCUGCUUUUGUGGGGUGCUCGAGUGGCGAACGGGUGAGUAACACGUGAGUAACCUGCCCUUGACUUUGGGAUAACUUCAGGAAACUGGGGCUAAUACCGGAUAGGAGCUCCUGCUGCAUGGUGGGGGUUGGAAAGUUUCGGCGGUUGGGGAUGGACUCGCGGCUUAUCAGCUUGUUGGUGGGGUAGUGGCUUACCAAGGCUUUGACGGGUAGCCGGCCUGAGAGGGUGACCGGCCAAAUUGGGACUGAGAUACGGCCCAGACUCCUACGGGAGGCAGCAGUGGGGAAUAUUGAACAAUGGGCGGAAGCCUGAUGCAGCAACGCCGCGUGCGGGAUGACGGCCUUCGGGUUGUAAACCGCUUUCGCCUGUGGCGAAGCGUGAGUGACGGUAAUGGGUAAAGAAGCACCGGCUAACUACGUG
rnacentral:rRNA from 1 species